UACGAAGGGUGCAAGCGGUACUCGGAAUUACUGGGCGUAAAGCGUGCGUAGGUGGUUCGUUAAGUCUGAUGUGAAAGCCCUGGGCUCAACCUGGGAAUUGCAUUGGAUACUGGCGGACUAGAGUGCGGUAGAGGAUGGCGGAAUUCCCGGUGUAGCAGUGAAAUGCGUAGAGAUCGGGAGGAACAUCUGUGGCGAAGGCGGCCAUCUGGACCAGCACUGACACUGAGUCACGAAAGCGUGGGGAGCAAACAGG
rnacentral:rRNA from 1 species